rnacentral:snoRNA from 1 species
AACUGUCAAUGAUGACUUUUGUUUUAAAAACAAUGGGAAUCUCUCUGAAAAAGAAUGAAAGAUGACUUUAUGCUGAUGCAGUU